AUUGAACGCUGGCGGCAGGCCUAACACAUGCAAGUCGAACGGCAGCACAGAAGAGCUUGCUCUUUGGGUGGCGAGUGGCGGACGGGUGAGUAACACGUAGGAAUCUACCCAGUAGUGGGGGAUAACCUGGGGAAACCCAGGCUAAUACCGCAUACGCCCUGAGGGGGAAAGCGGGGGAUCUUCGGACCUCGCGCUAUUGGAUGAGCCUGCGUCGGAUUAGCUAGUUGGUGGGGUAAGGGCCCACCAAGGCGACGAUCCGUAGCUGGUCUGAGAGGAUGACCAGUCACACCGGAACUGAGACACGGUCCGGACUCCUACGGGAGGCAGCAGUGGGGAAUAUUGGACAAUGGGCGCAAGCCUGAUCCAGCCAUGCCGCGUGGGUGAAGAAGGCCUUCGGGUUGUAAAGCCCUUUAGGUGGGGAGGAAGGCAUUCAUGCUAAUACCAUGGAUGAUUGACGUUACCCACAGAAUAAGCACCGGCUAACUCCGUGCCAGCAGCCGCGGUAAUACGGAGGGUGCAAGCGUUAAUCGGAAUUACUGGGCGUAAAGCGCACGUAGGCG
rnacentral:rRNA from 1 species